CAUUAGAUUUUGGAUCUGCACCAAAAACACAAACUUGUUUAGCCCUGUAAUCUGAUCAUUAGGCACAACAAUGAACAGAGUUGCUUAAUGUACUUCCAACAGGGUUUAAUGUGGGCUAGGGGGUCAUUCAUUUCUGUAUCUUUGAUGUUUUGGGCAUUUUUUCUCUAUUCUUUACACUUUUUGACCAUUUAUCUCUAUUUGUUAUAUUCUAACACCUCAUUUUUUUCUCUUUUUUUGGUCCAUUUUUCUCUGUUCUUUAUAUUUUACACAUUCUCUAUUCUGUGAACCCAUAUCCACACCCUCUUGUACGUAGACCUUUACAUGUGUUAUGGUUG
rnacentral:lncRNA from 1 species